AAAAAGGGCGCUCGUCCUGGCACGUUCUCAUCACGGAACACAAGUGCAGACGCAUUGCGCCGCAGGAGCGUCUCCUUCGCUCCGCUCCUGGGAUUCCGGGUGCGGGCGGGGGCGAGCGUCCAAUUGCCGCCCUUGACGUCUCCUUGCGCGCCCAGUGGGGUAUGGCUUUGCAUAUCCAGUGCGUAAUUUUUGUAUUUGGGGCCGCGGCUGCAAUUCCUGGAUUGCUUGGGGAUUCGGGACUCCCGAUCCUCCUGCGUGCCAAUGCGCUGCGCCCCG